UACGAACUGUGCGAACGUUAUUCGGAAUCACUGGGCUUACAGGGUGCGUAGGCGGCCGAACAAGUCAGGUGUGAAAGCCCUCGGCUCAACCGAGGAACUGCGCUUGAAACUGUUUGGCUCGAGUCAACUAGAGGUGCACGGAACUUCCAGUGGAGCGGUGAAAUGUGUUGAUAUUGGAAAGACCACCGAUGGCGAAGGCACUUUACUGGGCUAUUACUAACACUCAGAGACGAAAGCUAGGGUAGCAAAUGGG
rnacentral:rRNA from 1 species